rnacentral:rRNA from 1 species
GAUGAACGCUAGCGGCAGGCCUAACACAUGCAAGUCGAGGGAGAAGCCCUUCGGGGCAGAAACCGGCGCACGGGUGCGUAACGCGUAUGCAACCUACCUUUCACAGGGGGAUAGCCCGAAGAAAUUUGGAUUAAUACCCCAUAAUAUUAUUGGAUGGCAUCAUUUGAUAAUUAAAAUUACGAUGGUGAAAGAUGGGCAUGCGUCCUAUUAGCUAGUUGGAGUGGUAACGGCACCCCAAGGCUACGAUAGGUAGGGGUCCUGAGAGGGAGAUCCCCCACACUGGUACUGAGACAGGGACCAGACUCCUACGGGAGGCAGCAGUGAGGAAUAUUGGUCAAUGGUCGGAAGACUGAACCAGCCAUGCCGCGUGCAGGAAGAAUGCCUUAUGGGUUGUUAACUGCUUUUAUAUGGGAAGAAUAAGGAGUACGCGUACUUUGAUGACGGUACCCAUAUGAAAU